AGAGUUUGAUCAUGGCUCAGGAUAAACGCUGGCGGCGCACAUAAGACAUGCAAGUCGAACGGACUUAACCAUUAGUUUACUAUUGGAGCGGUUAGUGGCGGACUGGUGAGUAACACGUAAGCAACCUGCCUGUUAGAGGGGAACAACAGUUAGAAAUGACUGCUAAUACCGCAUAUGCCAUAGUGAGGACAUCCUCGCAGUGGGAAAGGAGCAAUCUGCUAACAGAUGGGCUUGCGUCUGAUUAGCUAGUUGGUGGGGUAACGGCCUACCAAGGCAACGAUCAGUAGCCGGACUGAGAGGUUGAACGGCCACAUUGGGACUGAGAUACGGCCCAGACUCCUACGGGAGGCAGCAGUCGGGAAUAUUGCGCAAUGGAGGAAACUCUGACGCAGUGACGCCGCGUGCAGGAAGAAGGUUUUCGGAUUGUAAACUGCUUUAGACAGGGAAGAAACAAGACAGUACCUGUAGAAUAAGCUCCGGCUAACUACGUGCCAGCAGCCGCGGUAAUACGUAGGGAGCAAGCGUUAUCCGGAUUUAUUGGGUGUAAAGGGUGCGUAGACGGGAAGUCAAGUUAGUUGUGAAAUCCCUCGGCUCAACUGAGGAACUGCAACUAAAACUAACUUUCUUGAGUGCUGGAGAGGAAAGUGGAAUUCCUAGUGUAGCGGUGAAAUGCGUAGAUGUUAGGAGGAACACCAGUGGCGAAGGCGACUUUCUGGACAGUAACUGACGUUGAGGCACGAAAGUGUGGGGAGCAAACAGGAUUAGAUACCCUGGUAGUCC
rnacentral:rRNA from 1 species